ensembl:lncRNA
GUGAGGAGAAAAUGAAACACAAUGACUGAGCUGCCUGCAAAGAGCUUCUGCUGGAAGCUUGGUAGCAACUUGGAACUAGAUCUGAUCAACUACUUGUGUGCUGACGUCCAGCCAGGCACUAGGGAUGAGUCUGCAUAGCAGGGUAUGUGUGGCAGGACUGAGGCUUGGGGAGCAGGCCAGGUGGAAUCCAGUGUGCUUUGCUGUCGUUCUCAGUGCUUGUUUUUGCUCAGGAGGGCAGGUGGUGAAGCUCAUGAAGCAAUGCCUGCAGAUGGGGUUUGCAGAGCAAGAAGUCCUGCAGGCCUUGUGUGACACCCACGGAGCUGAAGCGAGGCUGCGUCCGUGUAAAACAGCAGAAAUGCACGGAGGUAUGAAGGUGAGCUGUGGGCUCCAGUAGUGCAGGAGGGG